ACUCAAAGGAAUUGACGGGGACCCGCACAAGCGGUGGAGCAUGUGGUUUAAUUCGAAGCAACGCGAAGAACCUUACCAGGGUUUGACAUACCAAUGAUACCUUUAGAGAUAAAGGGUUCCUUCGGGACAUUGGAUACAGGUGGUGCAUGGUUGUCGUCAGCUCGUGUCGUGAGAUGUUGGGUUAAGUCCCGCAACGAGCGCAACCCUUAUCGCUAGUUACUAACAUUAAGUUGAGGACUUUAGCGAGACUGCCAGUGAUAAACUGGAGGAAGGCGGGGAUGAGGUCAAAUCAUCAUGCCCCUUAUACCCUGGGCUACACACGUGCUACAAUGGAUGGUACAAAGAGAAGCGAAACGGUGACGUCAAGCAAACCUCAUAAAGCCAUUCUCAGUUCGGAUUGUAGUCUGCAACUCGACUACAUGAAGAUGGAAUCGCUAGUAAUCGCGGAUCAGAAUGCCGCGGUGAAUACGUUCCCGGGUCUUGCACACACCGCCCGU
rnacentral:rRNA from 1 species